rnacentral:rRNA from 1 species
GGGUUGUGAGGUUAAGCGACUAAGCGUACACGGUGGAUGCCCUGGCAGUCAGAGGCGAUGAAGGACGUGCUAAUCUGCGAAAAGCGUCGGUAAGGUGAUAUGAACCGUUACAGCCGGCGAUGUCCGAAUGGGGAAACCCAGUGUGAUUCGUCACACUAUCGUUAACUGAAUACAUAGGUUAACGAGGCGAACCGGGGGAACUGAAACAUCUAAGUACCCCGAGGAAAAGAAAUCAACCGAGAUUCCCCCAGUAGCGGCGAGCGAACGGGGAGCAGCCCAGAGUCUGAAUCAGCUUGUGUGUUAGUGGAACGGUCUGGAAAGUCCGACGGUACAGGGUGAUAGUCCCGUACACCAAAAUGCACAGGUUGUGAACUCGAAGAGUAGGGCGGGACACGUGGUAUCCUGUCUGAAUAUG